rnacentral:tRNA from 1 species
GCCCUCGUAGCUCAGCAGGAUAGAGCGUCGGUUUCCUAAACCGAAGGUCGUGGGUUCGAAUCCCGCCGAGGGUA